rnacentral:tRNA from 1 species
GCCGUCGUAGCUCAAUUGGCAGAGCGACCGGCUCUUAACCGGUCAGGUGCUGGAUCGUUGCCAGCCGACGGUACCA